GAAGACUCCCUUCUGAGAACUGAGGGCCUGAUAUGCCUACCAAACUCUUCUCACAGGUGCUGAAAUGAUACUUUUGGGAUGUAUACUAAUCUCAGAGAGUCUCUCUGGACAAUUAACCUACUGUAAGACUGCUGCUUAAUGAAGAACCAGUUCAUCUACAAGGUCUAAUUGCUGGUUACUGAGCUGGACCAAAAUAAAAAAAAAAAGUGAGCAGUCUAAGGAAAAGUCCCUUCAGAUUGGAGAUUGAAAGAAGGAAAUCUACUGAAACCACAUGCAGAAGGAUCCUGUGUUCAACCACAGAGCAAAAACAGAAUAGAAAUCACUGAAUCAAUUCAAAUGAAUACUUGAAAGAAAUAUCAUCCUGCUUCGGACGUACAAAGAACAGAAAAAGUGAUCAACUGUAUUUAAUAAACUAUUCACUUAAAACUAUUCACUCUGUAAGUCUUAAUAUCAAAAGUCAUGAGUGUUCUGAAAAACAUAUAUCUGUUCUCUUUUUCUGAGAUAUGGCUGCCAGAUUAUAUCCACAACACAAUACAGUUUUCAUUACAGAAAGUGGCUGAAGUAAGAUGAGAUAUGAACUUACAUUGCAUAAGCUAUUCUGUCCUAUAUUCCUAUGUGGAUGCUCUUUGCAAGAGCAAGAUGGCCUACUCCAUUUCAGAGGUUACAGUGUUUUUUCCAGAAUGAAUCAAGUUAUUCCUCCAGCUGCAGGUCAAAAAUAUACUUACAGAAUACUUGCAUGCACCAGAGACUAUACCUUCUCAUCUCAGCUAUCUUGUGAUACAGGCAAGGUCAAGUAUGAAUGUCUCCUCAGGGGGAAUAUUGACUGUGUGGAUUGCUUUCCUAUAUGGAUUGUCCAGCCAAUCAGUUCUUCAGUCAUCAAACAGUCCAUCCUUUAAAUCCAUACCUCUCCAAUUUAGAGAGAAGGAUGUGGUGAGGGACCAUGUCACAGGCUUUGCAGAAAUCCAGGUAGAUGACAUUCAUCACCCUUCCCCCAUCCACUGAUGCCGUCACUCCAUCAUAGAAGGCAACUGGAUUGGUCAGGCAUGAUCUGCCCUUGGUGAAGCCAUGCUGACUGUCUCGAAUCACCUCUUUGUCUCAUAUGUGCCUUAACAAAGCUUCUGGAGGAUCUGCUCAUUGUCAUCUAGUAGGCCUAAUAUGAGCCUUAGAGUAGAAAUAUUCACAGUGGUGGAAUACAAGAUUCUUAUUUCUCAUUUCCAAAUUAACUAACAUGAAUGGUAACUAUGUUACCAGGAAAAAAUCAACACUUGAAGGAUUGUUUUAAAUCAUCCUUGAUGUAAGUUUUACCUGCUUAUCUGUUAAAACUGUUAAUUUGCAAUGAUUCUCUUAAGCGUUCCAGGAAACUUCGAUAUUUUGGAGAAAGAUCAUCUCAAAACACCCACUGGGACCAUGGAUUCUCUGUGUCUUCUCAGGGCAGGUUGCUGUGUCUGCGUGGGUUCGUGGAAAUACCAAUAUUAACAUCUCUGUACAUCAGAGUUUUUCCAUUUGGAAAAUCAGCAUUAAAAAAAAAUACCUCCCCCGAGGACGGUGAGAAUGAGUUCAUACAUGUAAAAUAAAUUAUGAUAAAAACAACAAAAACAAACAAAAAACCUGCAAAAGCAAGCCAAACUCUUAUAUGAUGAAUUUUGCGUACAAAUCCUUUGGAUUUUGUUAAUAAAUCACUAUUAUUGUCUACAUUUAGAUAUAGAGAAACUCAGAGACACAGCAGUUAUCUGACAAAUCAUAAACCCAGUGGCAGAAUCAAGGAUUGCACACUGAGAUCAAAAUCCAACCCACAAAUAAGACAAUUAUUCUUACAAAGGAUAGUUUAACUUUUUUUAUACCAGAAAUCCUCAACCAUAAUUAAAGCAGGAUAUUGGGCAAAGCAGUAACUGCUGCUCCUGUUGCUUGUAAUGCUGAGGAGGUAAAUAUAUUCAUUAUAUAGGAAGCUAACUCUUGUUUAAUUUUAUACUGCCAGUGCAGUCAUAUUCCUGUGAAUUUAACAGUGGAAUCCAACCUUACUUUAACAAAAAUAAACUCUCUAAAGCCC
ensembl:lncRNA